rnacentral:misc_RNA from 1 species
UUUUUUCUCCUUUCUCAGGAUAAAUUACAAGUUCCUUGAGAAAACACACUUGGCUUCUAGCUACAUAUUUGCCAUCAGAGGCAUCAAAUCCAGCACAUUAGUGAUAAUGAAAAGUUCCCUUCUUUUUGCUCUCCUCUCUUCUCUUUCCCAUCAAUGUCAUGAAACCAGAGUCAAAUUACACAAAUUCUCAGUCAGCUUGCCCAGGGCUCCUGUUAGCAUCACCAUCAUCAAGCUGGACCCAUAAGCUUCGGCUUCUUUCCCCUCCACUUUCCCACGGUUGUUGCCUCACACUCCUAUCAUUUGUAUCAUCCCCAUCUGAAAACUG